rnacentral:lncRNA from 1 species
UUUAUUAUGUUUGACGAUGAAUUUAUCUGAUUCAUCUCUUUUUAAACUCUAUAUGAGUUAUUUAUAUUUUCAACGUUUCCCUCUGUUCUAAGGUUAUAGCCUAAGGUCUAACCCACCUAAGGUUUCUAACCCUAUAGCUCUGAUACCAUUCUGUGAGGUCCCCAAAUCCGGAUACUUGAAACCCGAACUCGGUACAUCACGAUACCAUUU